rnacentral:rRNA from 1 species
GAUGAACGCUGGCGGCGUGCCUAAUACAUGCAAGUCGAGCGAACGGACGAGAAGCUUGCUCCUCUGAUGUUAGCGGCGGACGGGUGAGUAACACGUGGAUAACCUACCUAUAAGACUGGGAUAACUUCGGGAAACCGGAGCUAAUACCGGAUGAUAUUUUGAACCGCAUGGUUCAAAAGUGAAAGACGGCCUUGCUGUCACUUAUAGAUGGGUCCGCGCUGCAUUAGCUAGUUGGUAAGGUAACGGCUUACCAAGGCAACGAUGCAUAGCCGACCUGAGAGGGUGAUCGGCCACACUGGAACUGAGACACGGUCCAGACUCCUACGGGAGGCAGCAGUAGGGAAUCUUCCGCAAUGGGCGAAAGCCUGACGGAGCAACGCCGCGUGAGUGAUGAAGGUCUUCGGAUCGUAAAACUCUGUUAUUAGGGAAGAACAUAUGUGUAAGUAACUGUGCACGUCUUGACGGUACCUAAUCAGAAAGCCACGGCUAACUACGUG